AAAUUGAAGAGUUUGAUCAUGGCUCAGAUUGAACGCUGGCGGCAGGCCUAACACAUGCAAGUCGAGCGGUAGCACAGAGAGCUUGCUCUCGGGUGACGAGCGGCGGACGGGUGAGUAAUGUCUGGGAAACUGCCUGAUGGAGGGGGAUAACUACUGGAAACGGUAGCUAAUACCGCAUAAUGUCGCAAGACCAAAGUGGGGGACCUUCGGGCCUCAUGCCAUCAGAUGUGCCCAGAUGGGAUUAGCUAGUAGGUGGGGUAACGGCUCACCUAGGCGACGAUCCCUAGCUGGUCUGAGAGGAUGACCAGCCACACUGGAACUGAGACACGGUCCAGACUCCUACGGGAGGCAGCAGUGGGGAAUAUUGCACAAUGGGCGCAAGCCUGAUGCAGCCAUGCCGCGUGUGUGAAGAAGGCCUUCGGGUUGUAAAGCACUUUCAGCGGGGAGGAAGGCGGUGAGGUUAAUAACCUCAGCGAUUGACGUUACCCGCAGAAGAAGCACCGGCUAACUCCGUGCCAGCAGCCGCGGUAAUACGGAGGGUGCAAGCGUUAAUCGGAAUUACUGGGCGUAAAGCGCACGCAGGCGGUCUGUCAAGUCGGAUGUGAAAUCCCCGGGCUCAACCUGGGAACUGCAUUCGAAACUGGCAGGCUAGAGUCUUGUAGAGGGGGGUAGAAUUCCAGGUGUAGCGGUGAAAUGCGUAGAGAUCUGGAGGAAUACCGGUGGCGAAGGCGGCCCCCUGGACAAAGACUGACGCUCAGGUGCGAAAGCGUGGGGAGCAAACAGGAUUAGAUACCCUGGUAGUCCACGCCGUAAACGAUGUCGAUUUGGAGGUUGUGCCCUUGAGGCGUGGCUUCCGGAGCUAACGCGUUAAAUCGACCGCCUGGGGAGUACGGCCGCAAGGUUAAAACUCAAAUGAAUUGACGGGGGCCCGCACAAGCGGUGGAGCAUGUGGUUUAAUUCGAUGCAACGCGAAGAACCUUACCUGGUCUUGACAUCCACAGAACUUUCCAGAGAUGGAUUGGUGCCUUCGGGAACUGUGAGACAGGUGCUGCAUGGCUGUCGUCAGCUCGUGUUGUGAAAUGUUGGGUUAAGUCCCGCAACGAGCGCAACCCUUAUCCUUUGUUGCCAGCGGUUAGGCCGGGAACUCAAAGGAGACUGCCAGUGAUAAACUGGAGGAAGGUGGGGAUGACGUCAAGUCAUCAUGGCCCUUACGACCAGGGCUACACACGUGCUACAAUGGCAUAUACAAAGAGAAGCGACCUCGCGAGAGCAAGCGGACCUCAUAAAGUAUGUCGUAGUCCGGAUUGGAGUCUGCAACUCGACUCCAUGAAGUCGGAAUCGCUAGUAAUCGUAGAUCAGAAUGCUACGGUGAAUACGUUCCCGGGCCUUGUACACACCGCCCGUCACACCAUGGGAGUGGGUUGCAAAAGAAGUAGGUAGCUUAACCUUCGGGAGGGCGCUUACCACUUUGUGAUUCAUGACUGGGGUGAAGUCGUAACAAGGUAACCGUAGGGGAACCUGCGGUUGGAUCACCUCCUUACCUUAAAGAA
rnacentral:rRNA from 1 species